UACUGCACAAUGGGGGAAACCCUGAUGCAGCGAAGCCGCGCGAGUGAAGAAGUAUUUCGGUAUGUAAAGCUCUAUCAGCAGGGAAGAAAAUGACGGUACCUGAUUAAGAAGCCCCGGCUAACUACGUGCCAGCAGACGCGGAAAUACGUAGGGGGCAAGCGUUAUCCGGAUUUAUUGGGUGUAAAGGGAGCGUAGACGGCAGUACAAGUCUGGAGUGAAAUGCCGGGGCUUAACCCCGGAACUGCUUUGGAAACUGUGCAGCUAGAGUGCAGGAGAGGUAAGUGGAAUUCCUAGUGUAGCGGGGAAAUGCGUAGAUAUUAGGAGGAACACCAGUGGCGAAGGCGGCUUACUGGACUGUAACUGACGUUGAGGCUCGAAAGCGUGGGGAGCAAACAGGA
rnacentral:rRNA from 1 species